GAUUUCUGGUUUGCUACAUUUAGCCGGCCACGGUUUCGUGUGUUAGUGCUAGAUGUUCUGGCCAUCCUUCCAAUCGCUAUUUACUUUUCUUCAUUGAUUAGUGAGUGGUAUUGGAUCUUUUACUUUGAAAAAAUUAGAGUGUUUCAAGCAGGCUUUAUGCUAUGAAUACAUUAGCAUGGAAUAAUAAUUUAGGACUUCGGUUCUAUUUUGUUGGUUUCUAGGACUGAAGUAAUGAUUGAUAGGGAUAGUUGGGGGUGCUAGUAUUCAGCGGCCAGAGGUGAAAUUCUCGGAUUCGCUGAAGACUAACUUAUGCGAAAGCAUU
rnacentral:rRNA from 2 species